rnacentral:sRNA from 1 species
GAUGAUGUGGCAGGCGUAGUAAUGGCGGGCACCGCGGUGGAAGCGGGGAGACAGGGAGGCGCCUUAUGUAAUCUGCGGGCCGCUAGUUGAAGAUCGAUUUUCUGCCGGGGUCUAGGGGCGGCAGGGAAAUGGCAGAACGAGCAAAGCGACACCUGAAAGACUCCCCUUUUCCUUCCAAAUACCUUCUCCUGAUGCUGUUAACCGUCGACCCUAGGCACUUGUCCUUCCUGUGACUCCCAAAUGUACAAAGACUCUUCUUGAGACACGAGGUGUAGGCUUGUGGCGGUUAGGGCCGUUCCGGCUCCCCAUUAUUUCCUGGGGUGAACUUCACGGUAGACCAGAUCCGCGCCAUCAUGGACAAGAAGGCCAACAUCCGCAACAUGUCUGUCAUCGCCCACGUGGACCAUGGCAAGUCCACGCUGACAGACUCCCUGGUGUGCAAGGCGGGCAUCAUCGCCUCGGCCCGGGCCGGGGAGACACGCUUCACUGAUACCCGGAAGGAUGAGCAGGAGCGUUGUAUCACCAUCAAGUCAACUGCCAUCUCCCUCUUCUACGAGCUCUCAGAGAAUGACU